CGGUAGCUGGACCAGACCGGGCAUCUUGCCGAACCUAGCAUUCCACAACCCACCGCGGG
rfam:Thauera sp. 27 Cont28, whole genome shotgun sequence.